AGGCAACCAGCACCGUUGCCCAGCGCUCCCAUCAGCACCUCACAGCUGUUCUCGCGGCCAAAACUGGUGCAGAAAAGGCUGCCCGGCUGGCAGGGAAAGAAAAGCUGAGGCAGAAAAUUCUGAAAGCCCAUUAAGGGACUGAAACCAAGAAACACAGCCUCAUCGACUAGAGACUCAGGACGGGCUUAAGAAACACAACAUCAGGACUCUCCAGGGAAAUGGUGGGAGGAGCAGGAGCAGCUGCCAGGGGAGCCUCGAGUGGGGAAGUGAAGUGAGGACCUGCGAACGGCCCCUGGGGUCACUCUGGGGACUUCUGAGCUCUGGCCAGGACCCAAGCAGCCCUUGGCCAGGGACAGAGCCAGCCAGACACUAGGGUUCUACUCGCCAGCAGGUGCUCCCUGAAACUAACAAGGACAGCGACAAGGAUUGGGUAGGAGCAAGUGAGUUAUGGAGCUGAUGCCUCGUAAACAAGUCUGGUGCCCGCCUGUCUUCAUGAAUCACCGCCGAGCCUAAUCCUUCAUUAGAACAUUCAGCAGUAAUUGCUGGCGAAAUGCCACUUGCCUUUUUCUCAUUUUAACAAAACAUUUAUGCAUGAAAGAUUUAAUGCCAGGUAUCAAGCAUAUCAUUGUAAAUUUACCACUAAUUAAGCCUAAUUAAAAUAAUU
rnacentral:lncRNA from 1 species